rnacentral:rRNA from 1 species
CAGUAGCCGCGGUAAUACGUAGGGUGCGAGCGUUAAUCGGAAUUACUGGGCGUAAAGCGUGCGCAGGCGGUUUGUUAAGUCUGCUGUGAAAUCCCCGGGCUCAACCUGGGAAUGGCAGUGGAUACUGGCAAGCUAGAGUGUGUCAGAGGAUGGUGGAAUUCCCGGUGUAGCGGUGAAAUGCGUAGAGAUCGGGAGGAACAUCAGUGGCGAAGGCGGCCAUCUGGGACAACACUGACGCUGAGGCACGAAAGCGUGGGGAGCAAACAGGAUUAGAUACCCCAGUAGUCCCUGUCUCUUAUAC